UGUGGCUCAGUGGUAGAGCGUUCACCUAGCAUGUGUGAGGCCCUGGGUUGAAUUCUCAGCA
rnacentral:tRNA from 1 species